rnacentral:rRNA from 1 species
AAAUUGAAGAGUUUGAUCAUGGCUCAGAUUGAACGCUGGCGGCAGGCCUAACACAUGCAAGUCGAACGGUAACAGGAAGCAGCUUGCUGCUUUGCUGACGAGUGGCGGACGGGUGAGUAAUGUCUGGGAAACUGCCUGAUGGAGGGGGAUAACUACUGGAAACGGUGGCUAAUACCGCAUAACGUCGCAAGACCAAAGAGGGGGACCUUCGGGCCUCUUGCCAUCAGAUGUGCCCAGAUGGGAUUAGCUAGUUGGUGAGGUAACGGCUCACCAAGGCGACGAUCCCUAGCUGGUCUGAGAGGAUGACCAGCCACACUGGAACUGAGACACGGUCCAGACUCCUACGGGAGGCAGCAGUGGGGAAUAUUGCACAAUGGGCGCAAGCCUGAUGCAGCCAUGCCGCGUGUAUGAAGAAGGCCUUCGGGUUGUAAAGUACUUUCAGCGGGGAGGAAGGUGUUGUGGUUAAUAACCGCAGCAAUUGACGUUACCCGCAGAAGAAGCACCGGCUAACUCCGUGCCAGCAGCCGCGGUAAUACGGAGGGUGCAAGCGUUAAUCGGAAUUACUGGGCGUAAAGCGCACGCAGGCGGUCUGUCAAGUCGGAUGUGAAAUCCCCGGGCUCAACCUGGGAACUGCAUUCGAAACUGGCAG